rnacentral:rRNA from 1 species
AACCUGCCCAAGAGAUCGGGAUAACACCUGGAAACAGAUGCUAAUACCGGAUAAUAACAGAUGAUGCCUAUCAACUGUUUAAAAGAUGGUUCUGCUAUCACUCUUGGAUGGACCUGCGGUGCAUUAGCUAGUUGGUAGGGUAACGGCCUACCAAGGCGAUGAUGCAUAGCCGAGUUGAGAGACUGAUCGGCCACAUUGGGACUGAGACACGGCCCAAACUCCUACGGGAGGCAGCAGGG